CGACUACAAGCGGGGAUUCGACGACGGAAAGCCUUGGGUCUCCUCCGGCGAUUUCUGCAAACUCCGGCGAAUCGGGCCACCGACAGAGCUGCUUGUGCUGCACCUGCAAUUCGAGGUUCCUUUUCGAUCUAGUUGAUCACAAGGUGAGUUGGGUUCUGUUGAAGGUCUGAGAAUUUACACUUCUGGAAACUGGGCUGGCUUGUAGCAUGCAUGCUGUGAUGUUGUGUUUGAGAAGAGUAAAUUGGUAGUUAGUCAGAAGAAAUCGAAAGCUAUGUUGUGAGCUUGCUGUUUUGUCCAUGUUUGCUAAGAUUGUAGUUGUUAAAUGAUUUUGGUGAUGGAUGUUGUAGUAUGUUUCUUAUUCUGGUGAAAAUGACAAAGCAUAAAUAUGCAAGUAUGCGUUUA